UAAUACAGAGGGUGCGAGCGUUAAUCGGAAUUACUGGGCGUAAAGGGUGCGUAGGUGGUUCGCUAAGUUGGAUGUGAAAGCCCCGGGCUUAACCUGGGAAUGGCAUUCAAUACUGGCGAGCUUGAGUCGAGGAGAGGGAAGUGGAAUUUCCGGUGUAGCGGUGAAAUGCGUAGAUAUCGGAAGGAACACCAGUGGCGAAGGCGGCUUCCUGGACUUAGACUGACACUGAGGCACGAAAGCGUGGGGAGCAAACAGGAUUAGAUACCCUGGUAGUCCACGCUGUAAACGAUGAGAACUCGAUGUGGGGAGGCACAGCCUUUUCGUAUUGAAGCUAACGCGCUAAGUUCUCCGCCUGGGGAGUACGGCCGCAAGGCUA
rnacentral:rRNA from 1 species